UGGGGAAUAUUGCACAAUGGGCGCAAGCCUGAUGCAGCCAUGCCGCGUGUAUGAAGAAGGCCUUCGGGUUGUAAAGUACUUUCAGCGGGGAGGAAGGCGAUAAGGUUAAUAACCUUGUCGAUUGACGUUACCCGCAGAAGAAGCACCGGCUAACUCCGUGCCAGCAGCCGCGGUAAUACGGAGGGUGCAAGCGUUAAUCGGAAUUACUGGGCGUAAAGCGCACGCAGGCGGUCUGUCAAGUCGGAUGUGAAAGCCCCGGGCUCAACCUGGGAACUGCAUUCGAAACUGGUAGGCUAGAGUCUUGUAGAGGGGGGUAGAAUUCCAGGUGUAGCGGUGAAAUGCGUAGAGAUCUGGAGGAAUACCGGUGGCGAAGGCGGCCCCCUGGACAAAGACUGACGCUCAGGUGCGAAAGCGUGGGGAGCAAACA
rnacentral:rRNA from 1 species